GUACAAGGCUAAGUAGGGCCCUGGGAUGAGGCACCUGUGACAGGGAGGGGUGCAAAACCAAGGAGUUGGCUAGACUCCCAAAUAUAUAUAUGAAACAAGGGGGGGUUGGCUGCACUCACCUGAACACCCCUCCCUGUCACAGGUGCCUCAUCCCAGGGCCCUACUUAGCCUUGUACU